GCCGAGCUCAGUCACGAGAGCUUGUCACCCAUGUGGGGGCGUUAAGGUGGUGUGGAUGUUUGGUGUGGACUCUUGGGCCUGGGCCUGUGUUGUAACAUUGCUGGCAUGCCCGGUCCAAGUUGGUAGUGGGCUACGGGGCUGUUGCGAAAGCUUCGGCCUCUUUGUCCUUGAAGUGGCAGACACCGCGUUAGGCUCCAUGUCUUUUAUUCCANUUUUUUAGAGGCUGAACUGUUAGACACGUUGUACCACAUAUGUUGUAAUACUUAGUCUAGGUUGAUCCACUCUUUUA
rnacentral:SRP_RNA from 16 species